GUGUGUCUGAUGCAAUGUUGGCUGACGCUCCCUCUUGCCGGCUCCUGCUAUUGAACCAGAUCCAAGUGCAAUGUUUAAUACCCCAGGGGUGAUGUGCUGCUAAGAUGAAUAGCCUUCUAAGAAUGACUUCAAGCUCAAGCACAUGACAGUUCCCACCUAGUCACUGGAAAAGGGAUGAAGAUCCUGAUGCAUAUACCCUGCUCCCUUAAACCCAAAACGGUUCUCUGUGGAUGUUUCUCUAGCCCUCAUCUUCAUCCUGUCACUCCUGGAUCCCAAGAAAAUGGGCCCUGUGCUGUGGGAGCACCUCUCACCUGGCCGAUUUUUGUUACCGCUGCAUGACGCUUGGGAGGUAGAAGGAACUGGAACUUGGAGGAGUGACUGUGGAGCACAGCACAGAGUGGGACUUGAGGGAAGCCACACUGUAUACAGAGAAGAAAGCUUCGGGUUGCAGAAAGUCGCUUGGGAAGACUGCGCAUGGAUGAGAUGCUUCUUGCUGAGAAGGGGACCAGCACAGCCCACCGUGUUGGGACUUGGGGGGAAAUUUGGACACAGAGACAGGCAUAGUGGGAAGAUGAGAGAAGAGACAUGGAGAGAAGCUGUGGCCAUCUACACGUCAAGGAGAGAGGCCUGGAACAGAUACUUGGAAGCAAACAGCACAAUGACACCUUGAUUUUUGGACUUCUACCCUCCAAAACUGUGAGGAAAAUUAAUUUGGCAGUAAUGCCUGAGAUUGAUUGAAGUGGAUGGAAAUUGAAAGCAGAGAAAAGUAUGCGAGAAGGAUGCUCCUAUGCCUCUAUGUUUAUAUAUUACUCUUUAUGCAGAUGCCGUGG